CUCUUCUGGCCUUUCCAGAGCCUUCAGAUUGACAAAACCUGAAGAUGCAGAUCCAGACUGGACUUUCUACCAGCUGGACGACAUACCGCCUCCCUCCCGUGUGACCUCUCACCCCUUCAGACGGCAUGACCGAGAGUGCUCAUCGGAAAUUGACCAUGAAAUAAUCAACGACAAAAAAAGC